rnacentral:rRNA from 1 species
GACGAACGCUGGCGGCGUGCUUCAUACAUGCAAGUCGAGCGGGGUCCAUCCAGUGGCAACACUGGUGAAGACCUAGCGGCGAACGGGGGAGUAACACGUGAGGAACCUGACCCAGAGACCGGGAUAACCCUCCGACAGGCGAGCUAAUACCGGAAGCCCCCACCUGAUGGCAUGGUCUGGUUAGGAAAUGGAUUCCGCUCUGGGAGGGCCUCGCGGCCUAUCAGCUUGUUGGUGAGGUAACGGCUCACCAAGGCGUCGACGGGUAGCUGGUCUGAGAGGACGGUCAGCCACACUGGGACUGAGACACGGCCCAGACUCCUACGGGAGGCAGCAGUAGGGAAUCUUGCGCAAUGGGCGAAAGCCUGACGCAGCAACGCCGCGUGGGGGAUGAAGGCUCUCGGGUUGUAAACCCCUUUCAGCAGGGACGAUUGUGACGGUACCUGCAGAAGAAGGACCGGCCAACUACGUGCCAGCCGCCGCAGUAA